rnacentral:lncRNA from 1 species
CCCCCCCAAAAAAAAAUCCUGGCUCCGCCACUGGAUAUGAAUGCUGCUGCUGCAUUAUGAAGAUGAUGAUGAUUAGACGUAGGGAAAGCUUAGCUUAGUGUUGAGCCCUUCUUUUGAUGGUCGGUUUUGUCUUGCCAUCGCGGCCGCCUUGGAUCGGAGACUACUUAGGGAUACCAUUAUAUUGCCUCUUUCCUCUUCUUAUCUAUCUCCUUGUAAUACUAAGAUACCCACAGAUAUUAUUAUUGAUGAGCCAUUUUUGAUUUAUUUAGAGAAUUUUGUUUGGUCUCUUGUACUACAUUAUACAAGAAUUUUACUACUUUUGUUCAAAUAGUGGUAUAUCAAUAUCGUGCACAUAGCAGUUCUGUUGUUUGUGUGUGAGUUGGAUUUCUAUUGUUUGCGCUUUGGUAAAUUGGAUUUGGAUUAUCUAAUUCUUUUAAUGAAUCAAGCUUAGCUUUAUGCUAGUAUUUUUCUUCUUAA